rfam:Spiroplasma litorale strain TN-1, complete genome.
UUAUAAUUGCUAUUCAUACCAAAGAAAGUAACGGAGUUUACUCUUAAUAAUGUUGCCGAGGAAUGAAAUAUAUAACUUUGAUUUAAAGUUAUAUUUUACCUUGGUUUUCCAAGGUUUUUAUUUGGUUAA